AUUGAGCGCUGGCGGCAGGCUUAACACAUGCAAGUCGAGCGGAGAUGAGGUGCUUGCACCUUAUCUUAGCGGCGGACGGGUGAGUAAUGCUUAGGAAUCUGCCUAUUAGUGGGGGACAACAUUCCGAAAGGAAUGCUAAUACCGCAUACGUCCUACGGGAGAAAGCAGGGGAUCUUCGGACCUCGCGCUAAUAGAUGAGCCUAAGUCGGAUUAGCUAGUUGGUGGGGUAAAGGCCUACCAAGGCGACGAUCUGUAGCGGGUCUGAGAGGAUGAUCCGCCAAACUGGGACUGAGACACGGCCCAGACUCCUACGGGAGGCAGCAGUGGGGAAUAUUGGACAAUGGGGGGAACCCUGAUCCAGCCAUGCCGCGUGUGUGAAGAGGGCCUUAUGGUUGUAAAGCACUUUAAGCGAGGAGGAGGCUACUGAGACUAAUACUCUUGGAUAGUGGACGUUACUCGCAGAAUAAGCACCGGCUAACUCUGUGCCAGCCGCCGCGGUAACAC
rnacentral:rRNA from 1 species